rnacentral:rRNA from 1 species
GAGUUUGAUCCUGGCUCAGAAUGAACGCUGGCGGCGUGCCUAACACAUGCAAGUCGUACGAGAAAUCUCCUGCUUGCAGGAGAGAGUAAAGUGGCGCACGGGUGAGUAACACGUGGGUAAUCUACCUCUGAAUUUGGGAUAACGUUCCGAAAGGGAUGCUAAUACCGGAUAAUAUCCGAGAGUCUAAGGGCUUUCGGUUCAAAGGGGGCCUCUACAUGUAAGCUUCCGUUUGGAGAUGAGCCCGCGCACCAUUAGCUUGUUGGUAAGGUAAAGGCUUACCAAGGCUACGAUGGUUAGCUGGUCUGAGAGGAUGACCAGCCACACUGGAACUGAGACACGGUCCAGACUCCUACGGGAGGCAGCAGUGAGGAAUCUUGCGCAAUGGGGGAAACCCUGACGCAGCAACGCCGCGUGAGUGAAGGAGGCCUUCGGGUCGUAAAGCUCUGUCAAGUGGGAAGAACCUAUUUCGUGCUAAUAUCACGAGAUAAUGACGGUACCACUAAAGGAAGCACCGGCUAACUCCGUGCCAGCAGCCGCGGUAAUACGGAGGGUGCAAGCGUUAUUCGGAAUUACUGGGCGUANAGGGCGCGUAGGCGGCUUUUUAAGUCAGGCGUGAAAUCCCGGGGCUAAACUCCGGAAGUGCGUUUGAAACUAGAAAGCUUGAGUACGGNA